GACGAACGCUGGCGGCGUGCUUAACACAUGCAAGUCGAACGGGUCUGCCCUGUUUUUUGCGGGGUGGGUCAGUGGCGAACGGGUGAGUAACACGUGAGUAACCUGCCCCUCACUUCUGGAUAACCGCUUGAAAGGGUGGCUAAUACGGGGUGUUCUGGCUGUGCCGCAUGGUGUGGCUGGGAAAGAUUCACUUUUGUGGUGUUUUGGUGGGGGAUGGGCUCGCGGCCUAUCAGCUUGUUGGUGGGGUGAUGGCCUGCCAAGGCUUUGACAGGUAGCCGGCCUGAGAGGGUGGGCGGUCACACUGGGACUGAGAUGCGGCCCAGACUCCUGCGGGAGGCAGCAGUGGGGGGUAUUGCACAAUGGGCGGAAGCCUGAUGCAGCGACGUCGCGUGAGGGAUGGAGGCCUUCGGGUUGUGAACCUCUUUCGCCGGUGAAGAAGGUCCUGCUCUUUGUGGUGGGGUUGACGGUAGCCGGGUUAUGAAGCGCCGGCUAACUACGUG
rnacentral:rRNA from 1 species